AUGGCUGAGGUUAGGCAAUAAAUUGUAAAUUUAUAUACGGAAAUAAUUUUUUCUUUCACCAUAUUUUAGGGUU
rnacentral:tRNA from 1 species